UACGUAGGGACCGAGCGUUGUCCGGAAUCAUUGGGCGUAAAGAGCGUGUAGGCGGCUCGCUAAGUCUUGCGUGAAAUCUCGGGGCUCAACCCCGAGCGGUCGUGAGAAACUGGCGGGCUAGAGUGCGGGAGAGGAGAGUGGAAUUCCCAGUGUAGAGGUGAAAUUCGUAGAUAUUGGGAAGAACACCGGUGGCGAAGGCGGCUGACUGGUCCGGUUCUGACGCUGAGGCGCGAAAGCGUGGGGAGCAAACAGG
rnacentral:rRNA from 1 species